AAAACUUGCUAACAACGGAUCUCUUGGUUCUCGCAUCGAUGAAGAACGCAGCGAAAUGCGAUACCUAGUGUGAAUUGCAGCCAUCGUGAAUCAUCGAGUUCUUGAACGCACAUUGCGCCCCUCGGCAUUCCGGGGGGCAUGCCUGUUUGAGCGUCGUUU
rnacentral:rRNA from 1 species